rnacentral:rRNA from 1 species
UACGAAGGGGGCUAGCGUUGCUCGGAAUCACUGGGCGUAAAGCGCACGUAGGCGGAUUGUUAAGUCAGGGGUGAAAUCCUGGAGCUCAACUCCAGAACUGCCUUUGAUACUGGCGAUCUUGAGUCCGGGAGAGGUGAGUGGAACUGCGAGUGUAGAGGUGAAAUUCGCAGAUAUUCGCAAGAACACCAGUGGCGAAGGCGGCUCACUGGCCCGGUACUGACGCUGAGGUGCGAAAGCGUGGGGAGCAAACAGG